rnacentral:rRNA from 1 species
GACGAACGCUGGCGGCGUGCUUAACACAUGCAAGUCGAACGCUGAAGCCGGGAGUUUGUUCUGCUUGGAUGAGUCGCGAACGGGUGAGUAACGCGUAGGUAAUCUGCCUUGUAGCGGGGGAUCACUAUUGGACAUGAUAGAUAAUAGCGCAUUACCUUGGAUGCCACAUGUCGUUUAUUUGAAUGGGGCAAUUGCUUCACGACAAGGUGGAUCUGCGUUCUAUUGGUCAGUAGGUGAGGUAACGGCUCACCUAGGCGACGGUACAUAGCUGGCCGGAGAGGGUGGGCGGCCGCACGGGGACUGAGACACGGCACAGAGUCCUGCGGGAUGCAGCAGUAGGGAGUCGGCAGCAAUGGGGGCAGCCCUGACCGAGCAAGGCCGCAUGAGUGAAGAGGGAUGUCGGAUCGUGGAGCUCUGUUGUCAGUCGAGAACGAGUGUGAGAGUGGAAAGUUCACGCUGUGACGGUAGCUGACCAGGAAGGGACGGCUAACUACGUG